rnacentral:rRNA from 1 species
GAUGAACGCUAGCGACAGGCUUAACACAUGCAAGUCGAGGGGCAGCACAGGUAGCAAUACCGGGUGGCGACCGGCGCACGGGUGAGUAACGCGUAUGCAACUUGCCUAUCAGAGGGGGAUAACCCGGCGAAAGUCGGACUAAUACCGCAUGAAGCAGGGGCCCCGCAUGGGGAUAUUUGCUAAAGAUUCAUCGCUGAUAGAUAGGCAUGCGUUCCAUUAGGCAGUUGGCGGGGUAACGGCCCACCAAACCGACGAUGGAUAGGGGUUCUGAGAGGAAGGCCCCCCACACUGGUACUGAGACACGGACCAG